rnacentral:rRNA from 1 species
UACGUAGGGACCAAGCGUUGUUCGGAUUUACUGGGCGUAAAGGGCGCGUAGGCGGCGCGGUAAGUCACUUGUGAAAUCUCUGAGCUUAACUCAGAACGGCCAAGUGAUACUGCAGUGCUAGAGUGUGGAAGGGGCAAUCGGAAUUCCUGGUGUAGCGGUGAAAUGCGUAGAGAUCAGGAAGAACACCGGUGGCGAAAGCGCUCUGCUAGGCCGCAACUGACACUCAUGGACGAAAGCUAGGGGAGCGAAUGGG